rnacentral:rRNA from 1 species
UGGGGAAUAUUGCACAAUGGGCGCAAGCCUGAUGCAGCCAUGCCGCGUGUAUGAAGAAGGCCUUCGGGUUGUAAAGUACUUUCAGCGGGGAGGAAGGGAGUAAAGUUAAUACCUUUGCUCAUUGACGUUACCCGCAGAAGAAGCACCGGCUAACUCCGUGCCAGCAGCCGCGGUAAUACGGGGGGUGCAAGCGUUAAUCGGAAUUACUGGGCGUAAAGCGCACGCAGGCGGUUUGUUAAGUCAGAUGUGAAAUCCCCGGGCUCAACCUGGGAACUGCAUCUGAUACUGGCAAGCUUGAGUCUCGUAGAGGGGGGUAGAAUUCCAGGUGUAGCGGUGAAAUUCGUAGAGAUCUGGAGGAAUACCGGUGGCGAAGGCGGCCCCCUGGACGAAGACUGACGCUCAGGUGCGAAAGCGUGGGGAGCAAACAGG